GUCCUACUCCCUCCAUCUGGAAUUAGUUGACGCUCAAAUGGAUGUAUCUAGAUGUAUUUCAAUGCUAGGUACAUCCAUUUGAGCGCCAACUAAUUCCGGACGGAGGAAGUACACA
rfam:Triticum aestivum genome assembly, contig: Triticum_aestivum_CS42_TGACv1_scaffold_329492_4BS